CUCUUCAACAGUUUAAACUACAAGCUAAGGUACUAAUGAUCAAUAAUGGUAUAAUUUAGCAUUUCCUUGCUUAUAUUUCUACAAGGCUAUUUGAAAUGGCACUGUCUUAACCCAAAAAGGCAUACUUUUUGAAUAAGGAAUAACUAUAUGAAACAUUUAAAGUGUUUUUUUGUUUUUCACAGAAAAUUAUUUUUUUAUUGAUACAUACAUAAUAGAUGUAUAUAAUUUAGGGUACAUGCGACAAUUUUAUACAUUUAUGUAAUUUGUAAAGAUCAAAUCAGUGUACUAAGAAUGACAUUGUAAUGCUAGAAAUGUAGUCACUGAGGCAGACUUAUUGGACAGAUGUUUUUGGAAAUGACGACUUUUUAGUCCUUGUAAGCUGAUAAAUCCACUAUUCUAUUCAAGGUAAGGUUGGCACUUAUUGGGGCAAAUGAAAAUGAGAAAAUUAGGGAGUAAGGUCUGGAGAAGAUAAGUGAGAAUUAACACUGACACUAAAAUUUUAACAUUCAGGGACUAGAGCCAAAACAAUAAAUACAUUUAAAAACAAAGAUUGCAUAAGAACAAAAAUGUGAUUGUUUUCAAAGGUUACAGAUUUUAUUCCAAGGCUGUGCUGAAAAAACAUCCUGCUUGGUAGCCUACCUGGAAUCAAAUAUUCUCUCCCCUUCCUACUAAUAUUACUCAUAUGUCUAAUUCAGUUUCUAUACAGUUCUUAGUGUUUUUUCAGUUAUAUGUCAUUCAUGCCAACAUAUCCAUUUUACCCAUUUAAUUGAUACUGAAUGAUUACUAAAUGUAAAAUUAAUAGUUCUGGUAUUUUAUUGCCAUUACAAUAUUUAUAUUAUUCUACUGUAGCUUUUUUGGCUUGCAGAUCUAUUUUCCACCUCUCCCCGCCAAAACUGUCAGACUCAUAUUGGCAUAUCUGUGUUUAUUUAUCUUGGAAUCCCUAGAACCUACCUUGUAUAUUAUCUGACACCUAGUGGAUACCGAAUGAAUAUUUACUGAAGAAACAAGAGCCCUGUUUUAAGCAGAAGGAAAUGUGAAUACAAAUAUGGUUGAGCUCCUGCUUUUAAAAGAACUUACAACUUGCUGGUCAUGUACAGUCAAUAUAAUUAGUAGGCCACAUGCAUAGGUGGGUAAAUAGAGGACAGAGGGUAGAGAAAGACUGAAUGUAGUCCGAUUACAUGAAACAACUUAUCUUAACAUUCUAUUACAAACAUUAGUGCUAGGGUAUGUAACAGGAGACCCUUUACUGUCCUUUCAUAGACCUGUGCUGAUGAUAGAAAACCUUACUGGGUGACAGGAAAAUAGAUUGGAUAGAUAUAGCAUAUCUAAAAAUGUUCUAAUUGUAUUUUAUUUUUAAAGAAACUGAGGAUGAAACAGCCAUUGACAAGACUGCAUAUUCUUGGAAUCUGUUAUCAUAAAGAAUAAGGUCCUAAAGGAAAACAAUUUAUUUCACUAAAAAACAAGUCUGACUGGGCGCGGUGGCCAGCACUUUGGGCCGAGGUGGGCGGAUCACUUGAGGCCAGGAGUUCAAGACCAGCCUGGCCAACAUGGGGAAACCCUGUCUGCACCAAAAAUACAAAAUUAGCUGGGUGUGGUGGCGCAGUGCGUAGUCCUGGCUACUCCAGAGGCUGAGGCAGGAGAAUGACUUGAACCUGGGAGGCAGAGGUUGCAGUGAGCCGAGAUCGCACCACUGUACUCCAGCCUGAGCAACAGAGCAAACUCCAUCUCAAACAAACAAACAAACAAACAGAAGAAAAUCCCCUAGUCUUUCUGGAGAUAUUUCAUAGGCUUCUUUCAGAAGAUAAACUUAAGUGUUAACAGUAAUGGCUUUAUGGUCAUAGCAUUUACUACACGAUGACAUAAAGCUCAACCAUCAAUACAUAAUGUUUUAUUCUCCAAUACUAUGGUCCUCUCCUGAUCCUUUCACACACUAGUUCUGAUGUACUGAGAAUUGAGGACUCCAAUUCAGUUUCCUGUUGAGGCGAGGUAGGAUUUCAUCAAGAAAUGUUUUAUUUCCUUGAUUGUCUGAAACAGUGCACUUUGCUAGUGCAAAAUCUGUCACAAAAGAAUUGGAUAAGUGGGAGGGGGGUGUAAAUUGUUAAAGGACUAAGCAAUCCAUCAGAGUUUUAUAAUUUAACAACUUACUUAUCCAUUAAGCAAUUAUUUCAUGCCUACUGCUUAUGUGCCAAGCAGAAGAAAACAGCAUAUUACCUACUGGUAACAAUAACAAGUGGCUGCCAAGGCAGCUUAGUGGUUUAUGAGCCAGUCAUUUUGCAGCAUUGUGCUAAAAGGGAGGGAGAGUUAGAAGGUAAAAUCAAGUCGCUUCUUACAUGUUAUCAUCAGCUUUUGGGGAGUAUCGUGAAUUUUAUUUUUUAUUUUUAGUUGAGAGACAAGGUCUUGCUCUGUAGCCCAAGUUGGAGUGCAGUGGCAUGAUCAUGGCUCACUGCAGCCUCAACCUCUUGGGCUCAAGCGAUCCUCUCACCUUAGCCUCCCCAGUAGCUAGGACUACCAGCACGUGCCACCACAACCAGCUAAUUUUUAAAUUUAUUGUCGAGAUAAGGUCUCCCUAUGUUGUCCAAGCUGGUCACAAGCUCCUGGGCUUAAGCAAUCCUCCUGCCUUGGCUUCUCAAAGUGCUAGGAUUACAGGCAUGAAAAUGUUCAUUCAUUUGUUCUGUUGUGUACCAAGUGUAGUGGAUAUAGUCAAGCUUGGAUAUUAAAACCUAUAUAUUCAGGUAUUAAUAAAGGAGCUAGAUCCUCCCCCAACCUCAUCCCUGAUGAAACAAAUGAAAAUUUAGUAAUUUUGAAAAAGUAUCUUAGUCUUCACCAUGAGAAAAAUGAGAUCUUCCUUAAAUUCACCUUAUAGUGUAAAUAUUUUGAUUUUAAAUUAUAUAGGUUAAGGCAUCAAAUUUUUCACUGCUUAGGUGUCUACAGAUUUCAGUCAGGCUUUGGAUACAACAGUGAAGAAGACAAGCUCCUAUUAAAAAAUUUUAACCAGGGUUCUUAAUUAGGAGUUUAUAGAUUAAUUAAAGGGGUCCAUUACAUCUCUCUUUUAUUUUGAG
rnacentral:lncRNA from 10 species